rnacentral:rRNA from 1 species
ACUCGUGACGGUGGAUGUCUUGGCUCCAGCAACGAUGAARAACGCAGCAAAAUGCGAUACGUAGUGCGAAUUGCAGAACCCGUGAAUCAUCGAAUCUUUGAACGCAAGUUGCGCUCGCGGGCAAUCCUGCGAGCAUGUCUGUUUGAGUGUCCGCACAAAU